AAAGUGUUGAGCUUACAUCAGGGCUGCUUCCUUUGCUCUGGUAAUUCAACAUUGGGACAGUAAAACAUGGAAUGGGAGAGAUGAUUGCAUAAAAGGCACUUCUCUAUUCAUAUUCCUCCUAGCCUACAAAA